UACGUAGGGUGCAAGCGUUGUCCGGAAUUAUUGGGCGUAAAGAGCUCGUAGGCGGUCCGUCACGUCGGCUGUGAAAACCUGGGGCUCAACCCCGGGCCUGCAGCCGAUACGGGCAAACUAGAAUUCGGUAGGGGAGACUGGAAUUCCUGGUGUAGCGGUGAAAUGCGCAGAUAUCAGGAGGAACACCGGUGGCGAAGGCGGGUCUCUGGGCCGAUAUUGACGCUGAGGAGCGAAAGCGUGGGGAGCGAACAGG
rnacentral:rRNA from 1 species